GGUUCGAUCAUGGCUCAGAUUGAACGCUGGCGGGAUGUUUUACACAUGCAAGUCGAACGGCAGUAUUUAAUUUCCUUGGCCCUGGCGGGCGAGUGGCGAACGGGUGAGUAAUGUAUCGGAACGUGCCUAGUAGCGGGGAUAACUACGCGAAAGGUAGCUAAUACCGCAUACGCCCUUCGGGGGAAAGCGGGGACCUUCGGGCCUCUCGCACUAUUAGAGCGGCCGAUAUCGGAUUAGCUAGUUGGUGGGGUAACGGCUCACCGAAGGCGACGAUCCGUAGCUGGUUUGAGAGGACGACCAGCCACACUGGGACUGAGACACGGCCCAGACUCCUACGGGAGGCAGCAGUGGGGAAUUUUGGACAAUGGGGGGAAACCUCCUGAUCCAGCCAUCCUUACGUGUGCGUAUAAGGCCUUGGUUGUAAAGCACUCUCUUGGCAGGAAGAAACGGCACGGGAUAAUACCCCGUGCAACUGACGGUACCUGCAGAAUAAGCAAUCGGCUAACUACGUGCCGUGCCGCGGUAAUACGUGAGGCAAGCGUUAAUCGGAAUGGCGGCGUAAAGGGCAAGUGGUUCGGAAAGAAAGAUGUGAAAUCCGCAGAGCUUAACUUUGAACUGCAUUUUUAACUACCGAGCUAGAGUGUGUCAGAGGGAGGUGGAAUUCGCGUAGCAGCAGUCGUGUAGAUAUGCGGAGGAACACCAUGGCGUGAAGGCAGCCCCUUGGGAUAACACGACGCCUAUGCACGAAAGCGUGGGAGCAAACAGGAUUAGGAUACCCUGGUAGUCCACGCCCUAAACGAUGUCAACUAGCUGUUGGGGCCUUCGGGUCUUUGGUAGCGCAGCUAACGCGUGAAGUUGACCACCUGGGGAGUACGGUCGUAAAGAUUAAAACUCAAAGGAAUUGAUAGGACCGCACAAGCGGUGGAUGAUGUGGAUUAAUCGAUGCAACGCGAAACUCAUCACCCUGACAUGGUUCGAACCUGAAGAUUUGGGGAGCUCGCAAGAGAACCGGGAACACAGGUGCUGGCAACAGUCGCCAGCUCGCGGGUCGCUGGAGAUGCUGCUAACCUGCAACGAGCGCAACCCUUGUCAUUAGUUGCUACGAAAGGGCACCUAAUGAGACUGCCGGUGACAAACCGGAGGAAGGUGGGGAUGACGUCAAGUCCUCAUGGCCUUGCGGUAGGGCUUCACACGUCAUACAAUGGUCGGGAGCGAGGGUCGCCAACCCGCGAGGGGGCCAAUCCCAGAAACCCGAUCGUAGUCCGGAUCGCGAAGCUGCAACCUGACUGCGUGAAGUCGGAAUCGCUGAAAAUCGCGGAUCAGCAUGUCGCGGUAACAUGCUCCCGGGUCUUGUACACACCGCCCGUCGAACGGCGGGAGGCUCACCAGAAGUAGUUAGCCUAACCGUAAGGAGGGCGAUUACCACUUACAGGAUUCUGGUGAUCGGGGUGAAGUCGUAACAAGGUAGCCCUGUUAUUUACCCAUGAGUUCC
rnacentral:rRNA from 1 species